CRGAMCCSCUCCUACGGGAGGCAGCAGUGGGGAAUCUUGCACAAUGGGGGAAACCCUGAUGCAGCGACGCCGCGUGAGCGAUGAAGCCCUUCGGGGUGUAAAGCUCUUUCGGCAGGGAAGAUGAUGACGGUACCUGCAGAAGCAGCUGCGGCUAACUACSUGCCAGCAGCCGCGGUAAUACGUAGGCAGCGAGCGUUGUUCGGAGUUACUGGGCGUAAAGGGUGUGUAGGCGGUUGUUUAAGUUUGGUGUGAAAUCUCCCGGCUCAACUGGGAGGGUGCGCCGAAUACUGAAUGACUUGGAGUGCGGGAGAGGUGAGUGGAAUUCCUGGUGUAGCGGUGAAAUGCGUARAUAUCARGAGGAACACCGGUGGUGUAGACGGCUCACUGGACCGUAACUGACGCUGAGACACGAAAGCGUGGGUAGCAAACAGGAUUAGAUACCCUGGUAGUCCACGCCCUAAACGAUGSRUAUUUGGUGUGGGCAGUUCAUUCUGUCCGUGCCGGAGCUAACGCGUUAAAUAUGCCGCCUGGGGAGUGCAGUCGCAAGGCUGAAACUCAWAUGAAUUGACGG
rnacentral:rRNA from 1 species